rnacentral:rRNA from 1 species
CGGCAGGCUUAACACAUGCAAGUCGAGCGGGGAAGGGUAGCUUGCUACCUGACCUAGCGGCGGACGGGUGAGUAAUGCUUAGGAAUCUGCCUAUUAGUGGGGGACAACAUUCCGAAAGGAAUGCUAAUACCGCAUACGCCCUACGGGGGAAAGCAGGGGAUCUUCGGACCUUGCGCUAAUAGAUGAGCCUAAGUCAGAUUAGCUAGUUGGUGGGGUAAAGGCCUACCAAGGCGACGAUCUGUAGCGGGUCUGAGAGGAUGAUCCGCCACACUGGGACUGAGACACGGCCCAGACUCCUACGGGAGGCAGCAGUGGGGAAUAUUGGACAAUGGGCGAAAGCCUGAUCCAGCCAUGCCGCGUGUGUGAAGAAGGCCUUUUGGUUGUAAAGCACUUUAAGCGAGGAGGAGGCUACUGAGAUUAAUACUCUUGGAUAGUGGACGUUACUCGCAGAAUAAGCACCGGCUAACUCUGUGCCAGCAGCCGCGGUAAUACAGAGGGUGCGAG